ACCAAGUUGCGCGAAGGAUAGCAGCGGAAAUCCUUUUUGUAAGCUAGGGAAAAUGUUCGGAACAAAAAGAUUGCAGCGAAUAGCCUGACCAGAG
rnacentral:sRNA from 1 species